UCGAUAGAAUGUUCCUGAGUCAUUGGGGAGUAGCCGCUCUUCAAUCUGAAGAGGCUUGCGUCAACAUACUUGGUCAUUCGACCAUGGCGUAAGCGGUUUCUGCUUGGCAAGACCUUUGACCAUACUGCCUUCCGAAUGGCCGGGGAGGUGGUGUGGUCAUUCGUCGAAUUCCGGCCAAGGAAACC
rfam:Dechloromonas aromatica RCB, complete genome.